AUGCAGGAAUGGCACGAAGGACGAUCAGCAACCGUUUAGAGCAGUUCCGGAAGCUAAACACUCUAUACAAAACGUAUCUAAAAUAUAUCGGCUUGUGGAUGCUUGAUUCGGACUCUCCCAUAUUAUUGAGAUGCCUAUAUUAUAUAUACAACAAACUGGUUAUAAUCAUCAUAUUUCUCUUCGAGAUAAGUGUACUCCUUGACAUUUACCUGAAUUUCGACGAUUUCUUGGUCGUCACCGACAACGUAUGCGUAUUCGUCGGGGUCUUCAUGAUAUUCUUCAAAAUGCUGAUCUUCCAAGCUCACCGUGAACAGAUCGCACGAUUACUCCAUGCGACCAUCAAGAGCUGCGAUCAACUUUGCAAAUUGACCACCAUCACAGGGAUAGACAGCAUGCAGCUGACCAUCGGCAUGCUAUCCCUUGCGCAAUUCGAGAUUUUGAACAAGCACUUCGAGAGCUGCGGCCGCGACAACGUCGGCCGACGCCGCGAGGUAUCCACCGAGGUCAACUGCGAUGAGGAUAAUUACGAGUCUUAUGAGGCUCGUCAUCGCGGCGGAUUUGCCGAGUGGUUCGGGAGGUCCGUGCGAGAUCAUCAACGUCUGCGCGUCAUAAUAGACGACUUCAACAAGAUAUACAACAUGUGCAUGUUCGUCCAGAUGCUGUUGAGCAUCACGAUGAUUUGCCUGACCAGCUUCCAGCUCUUGUUGGUCACCGGCCAGAGCUCCACUUUCAAGUUUUCGCUAUACCUGAUAGCGGCGGCUAUGCAGAUCUUCUUCGUUUGCUGGUUGGGAAACGAGGUGAUGUACCAGAGCGCGUUGCUGACGCAAAGCCAGUGGCUCUCGGGAUGGGAGGACGAGCUUUCCAACACCAAGACCGGACGUCUGCUAAUACUGUCCAUGAUAUUUUCAACGAGGACGUUAAAUAUCAAGGCAGGUGUGUUCUAUGACUUAAACAUGGAGACGUUCACUACGGUCCUGAAGGGCGCGUACUCCGUCUUCGUUCUAUUGAACAUGUACUCGGAAGAUCAGUAAAUCCGACAAAUUCUCGGCACUAGUUAACGCACGGCAAACGUCUGUCUGAGUUGUGACCAAGUGCAAGAUGUCUUGGAGAACCGGCAGCAGCACAUGCAUAGCAAUGAGAGCGAAAUUUCGCACGAUCGAGUCGAGUAGCGAUCGUGGUUCUGUCAAUCGUCAUCAAAGAAUCCACAUUGUGAGUUCGCCAGGAAGCGAAGCAGGUCCUGAUUUACGCCUUCGAAGUCGAGCCAGUCACGCAUAAUGGCUUAUCUCUUGGCUUGCGCCGAGAAAAGAUGCAAGGAGAGAGACAGAAGAGAGACCGAAGAGAGAGAGAAGAGAAGAGAAGAGCGAAAGACGUGGUUGUCCUCGUCGCGCCCGCACAAACGCUCCCGCGUUUGCUUCCUAGACAGAUGGUCGCUUUGCCACAUGUUACCUAACUGUAGCCUGUCUUUAAGUACCAUUCGUGCCUGGUGGUAUCGAAUACUUCUUGUCGUGGAUCAUUGUACUUAUGCCAUCCUCCGGCUAGCGUCGCGUGAUUCGAGCGCGAAGUUGUACGCCAACACGCGGCAGUAGCUGUGACUGUUCACCUUCGUUUCCCGUCUACCUGAUGCAUCAAUCUUACGGAAUAUGAUUCUCAAAAUAGCAUUUUCAUUUGACGAGAAAAAUAUAAACGACAAGUUGAUAAUGGAAAUUGGAUUUCCAAGUGGAAGUGCAAGUGGAUUUUCAAGAAAAAUGCGCUUUGAUUUGUCGAAAAAGCACAAAUUUAUCUGGAUUUUCUCGGAUAAGCAGCUAUUACGCAGUCAAUUUGCAUGGGAAAUUUAAACGGAUUGAUGUAAAAAAUUAAAGUACUUCAAGAAGAUUACUUCAAUGAAGAGGAUCGACCGGUUCACGAACGAAGACACGACUAUCCGCGAGCAAAUGCGAGGAACGUGUUUUCUGGAAUAGAAUUUCCCACAGAGAUACGAAUCUGUCGUCUCUCCGGCAUCGAUACAACGGCAUGUUCUCAUCGCCUGUAUUUGCUUUGCACUUUCCCCAGUUUCAUCGUCACCUCCUCGAGUCGCAGCGAUGUGACGACGAGACACUAUGUGAGCGUAUAAGUACGCGCGUUUCGCGAUCCGUUAGUGACGUUAAAAAGUCAGCUCCUUAGUACCAGGAAGGACACGUGCGUUUUCCCGUUUCUUCGAGAAAUAUUAGCGGAAUCUCACUGCUUAUAACCACGCCAAUAAUUGCUCCCGAACGACAAAAACGAUCGAACGAUCGUUGCAAGCCGCCUUUGCGCGUGGAUCCAUGAUAAUUAGAGGACACCGUGUUGUAAAUAUCUCGAGUGCGGAUUACAUUAACAUCGUGACGGAAAGAUGUCAUAGUCGAAUUUUAAUAACGGUUUCAACAAUGAUUACCUGCGAGGUAAGGGAAGGCGACUAGCAGGAGGGCAGAAGGGACACAUUUCGCGGUGACGAAAUCGCGGAUUAAAAGCUGCACGCGUGAGCGCACGAGCGGCCGAUUUUUCACUUAUCUCGCGUGUUUCAUCCAACGGAGACGUAAAUCCGACGUCGAGCUGUCCUUCGUGUUGCCGCGUUUCUUUAAGUGGUCCGUCCGAAAUAUGGCCGUACGAAAUACGCCUUUUACGUGCCGCGUGCGCCAGGCGCAUCCUUCUUCGUUCGCCUCCUUAUUUCCGGCGUGUCCUCUUGCUCGCGCGCGACUCGCAUACACGAUUCCGCGAGUCCCCAAAAGCCUGUGUCCCGACGUGGAACGACGUGCGUUACGUUAUUUCGUUUAACGUUUUCUUGUGCAUUCCGUCGAAAAAAAGAAACCAAAAGACUGAAGACGCAAGAUGCCUGGUAACGGGCGCGUUCAGCGCACGGCGAUGCUUCUUAACGCGGAGAUAUCUGUUAGUAGCCGUCGAGAUAAAUCCGACGCAGACAAAUCGACGAGAUUACUCCAGCAAAGAUAAUACCGUUUAUUAAAUAAAAAAAUUAUACGACAACGCUUUCGCGCUUUCUUAGCGUUGUCGUCAUGCAUGCCUAUUAAUGUAACGUGUUAGUAAUAAUACUGGUAGCUAUUACCUUAUUCUUAUUCUUGAUCCAGACGAUGAUGAAUCCGGGAGAGUUAAUCGGAUUUUGACAUCGAGCGUUUUAAAGCGAAAUGCAGUGGCCGAAUGCGCCGAGCACGAUAUUCGCACGAUUCCUGACGCGAGAGAGCGAUCAAAGGGACUAUCGGCGCAAUUAACACACAGUAGUUAGCACGUAAUAUAAUAUACAACAGCGAAUGAACUCGUGAUGAUAUCAGUCCCGCAACGAAGAUUUAAUGAAGAUACAAGGGUGGCGGACAAGCACGGGGAUGAGAUUAACCGGCAUCACGUAAUGAAUUCCUGGCGACGAUAAGCGGCGCGGAUCCUCCUUCCGCUCUGUCCUUGUUUCCUUCGUUUCACCGUCCCCUCAAUCUUUCCCCGAAAAUUAACAGCCCGCGCAUGGUGGGCGUACAAGACAGAAAUGACGACCUAAAAAGAAGAAAAAGAGGAAGAAGAUAGGAAGGUAAAGAGAGCAGAUCGCAUCGCGUUAAUUCGCGGUUCGUGCACGACGAUGACAAAUUGUGGCAUCCGUCUGUCUGUGCGUCCGUCCGUCCGUCGCGAGAUACAAGAGGAAGCGACGAAAAAGGGACAAGAACGCGCGAUCGUUGCGUUUCGAUGUGGGACACAAAUUCGCACUCUCUCGACGCAGACGGGAAAUAAAACCAAAAAGAAAAAAAAAGAAGAGAAGAGAGGCAGCGGUAGGACGUGGAUGCCCCUCUUAGGGCUCGUUAUUGUGCAUAAAUCUCCCAGAUUACUCGGGAUUUAUGGCUUUUUCAUACGCGCGCGAGCGGCAUUCACGUGUCUGGCUUGCGUGGCGACUCCUCGUUGUGGUAUCGCGUCCCUCGGGACCUCUGGACCCCGGUCCUUUUCAUCCGCGCGCGAGCGUAAGUCUUCGCGUGGCAGAAGCGUCUUUAAGCGGCGUCCUUUGGUUCGUAAAGCGCGUGUCAGGUACCGAGACCCUCAAGAGUGCAUUGUAAUGAGCCGCAAGAACGGCGUAUGCAGAUAACGCAAAAGGGAAACGUGUUCACGAGACAGUCAGUCGUGAGCGUACGAUACUCUGCCUUUAACGCUUUAAAGAAACAGAUAUCGUGAUUUCCAGAAAUGAAUACAAUGACUACUCCGUAUACCUCCGCUUUCUUCACAAAAAUUUUUUAUGAAACGUGAUAAGUUUGUUCGUCAACGAUUUCUCUUUCCAAAAUCAGAAUCGUCGCGACUCGUCUCGCGUGCCGAGCCACACCGUCCGCAUGGGAAACGGGUCGAUCGAAUGCACCCCGCCUGGGAAUCGUGGAGAGAACCUAAUAUUUCUCGCACGGGACCCCACAAAUUAAGAUACGCCGCGCGUUCUCGCCAACGCAUCCGGCUACACUCGCACCGUUACUUCUCUCUCUCUCUCUCUUGAAAAAUCCGCCUGCUGAAGAGACUCUCGGUCGCGGCAGUGAACAUAAAUCUUGGUCGCGACCGAUAUCCUGCCGGUUCCUUUUUUCCCUUUUACCUUCGCGACCCACGUCUUGGCCGGCGCGCGAUGCACCCCAUCGCGCGGCUCGCGUGAGCCGGCGUUAUCGCAUUCCGCACCAAGCGGGCGGAUUUUGUCGGCACGACUGAGAAAUUCACCAUGAAAUUCAUGGCGAGCUCGGGUUUUUGUGAAACCUGCGCGACCACGCGGCAUUUCAAUUUCGUCACGGAGGGAUCAGGAAUGGGGCACCGCGAGGCCAUCCUCAGAACGCUCGGCACGGCCCCCGUUAUCAGAGUUACAUCGGUGGUGCAUUCGCGAGGAAGAGGAACGCGCCGAUUAUUCAUUAAUUACCUUCCGGGUGGCCAAGGCGAUUUUUUCUGGUACUCGACUCUUUGCCAUGGCUGUGGCGGCGGUUAAACCGAUGAAAACGUACGUCUAAUUGCACGCCGGGUGGGCUGCGGCCGAUCGUGCACCCCGUCGAAUAUCAAUGCUUCUCCGUCACGUUCCUCUUCUUCCUCUCUUCUGCUCCCUCGUCCGGUAUCCCGGCGCCCCGAACGUCGCCGAUGGACCGUCGCCAUGGAAUUCGAUCUUAUGUCAAUAUUCAUAAGCGUGCGGUAGCGCAUUGGGAUGGGAUGACGUCGUUAAAACACCCAUGAAAUUAUCAGGGACCACGUUGUAAUCACUCUGAGAUCUUCUUGCAGCGCUGGGGAUCUUGUAAACGAUGUGCCGCGUGACGCGUCUUUAGGAGGGGCACCUGAUUUUUCCGCUUCUUUGAAUUUUGCCUGCAAUAGUAGGUGGAUCUUGCAAUCUUCUUGCAAGAACGCAAGCUGAACCUUAAUUAUCGGGAGAACGUUAAUUAUCGCAAUGUGCAUAAUGUUUUGAUUGAAUUUCUGUAUAACAGCAGUGAUAGCAGUCGCGAUCUUUUGCAGAAAAGCACGAAAUACGUUAAUGUCUUCAAGAUAAAACGGAAUAGAAAUAUGCGGUCAGAAGACCGCAGGGGACCACAGGUGACCGCAGCGGAAAUUGCAUAUUAAAAAGCUGGGUUUUAGCGGGAGAGAAUGCACACAUGAGAGGAUUAAAGAUACAGUAACAGAAAUAGAAAUAUAAUUUCCGUGGGCGCAUUCUUCUUUCUCGGGGUCGCAUUAUGUCUUAUUAUACGUUUCUUACGUACGAUUGCAAUUAGCGGGGAAUCGUGCAUGACGCGUUUUACGAAGGGGCCGGACCGUCUUCUUCGUCGGGAUCACGACGGAAAGCUCGGGGAUUUCGGCAGAUGACUUACGAGAGAUGUGACCAUGCCGCAUUAAAGGCAGUUUCAUCUUUUUAUGCUACGACGCAGUGUUGCGCGUUUUACGCAUUCGGGUACGAGUCUCGAGCCUCGCCAGGUAUUUAUUCGAUGUGUCACGCGAUGCAAUGAAGAUUGACAAUAAUUUUGGCGCGCUCACAUAUAGGUGGUGUGUCCUGUCAUAAAGCCAGUUGAGUGUUUUACAAGCGACACCCUCUCGGACGCACUCGAGAGAAGCGGAAUUCACGCGGAGCUUUAUUAUUCGGCAAUAAUUGUACGGCGGAGUCCUUAAUUAUGACUCGAGCUUUAUCAGAGAGACCAAUUCUGGCUGGGACAGGGAAGCUCUUCGAGGGUGUCCCGUUCGUUCUGCUACGCUGGAUAAAGCGUACAUAAAAUCGCGUUCUGCGCGGUCGGACGCGCUAUUCGAUCUGAUUGCAGUGAUCUUUAACGAGCCGCGAUGGGAACUGGACCCGACUGCGUGCACGAGUGGACGCGUGCCCGUCCGUGAACGAUCGUCGCCGAUCGUGAAAAGCGUCACGAUGACAAUCGCCUUGCUUCCUAGUUUGCUUGUAGCGCGGUCAACAAGGCGACGUGAGCCAUGCGAAAGUCGACCUCCUUUCCAGCGAUCUUGGCGCGGUAUGGUUUGGAUACGUCCCGUUCCAACGACGCACUACCAUCCUGCAAAAGCUUGAGUGAUCCUUCAGCCUGUUCCACUCGGCUCGAACGCGUUACCUGCGUGCAACCUGCGCACCGGAAUAAGGAAGCGCUUCCUCCGCCUGGCUGGCGAGACGAAGAGGAGUGCUUUGCCGGAGGAGCGAUCGCUGCUAUAGUCGCA